rnacentral:rRNA from 1 species
UACGGGGGGAGCAAGCGUUGUCCGGAAUUAUUGGGCGUAAAGAGCUCGUAGGCGGCCUGUUGCGUCCGCUGUGAAAUCCCGGGGCUUAACCCCGGGCGUGCAGUGGAUACGGGCAGGCUGGAGGCAGGCAGGGGAGAACGGAAUUCCCGGUGUAGCGGUGAAAUGCGCAGAUAUCGGGAGGAACACCGGUGGCGAAGGCGGUUCUCUGGGACGGUACUGACGCUGAGACGCGAAAGCGUGGGGAGCGAACAGG